rnacentral:lncRNA from 1 species
ACGUGCCCUCCUGUACUGCCUUAGUUGGUCACAGCAAUGAGAUUUGCCCACCUCAUCCCACGGCGGGGGGGAAAAAGCAAGAGGCAAUGGCAAUCAGUGAUGUCGGACAACACACAGACUAAUUUAGGGGCAAAAGUCUAGUAUUUCCAGAGAGGAGAUGGGCGGUACUGGUUUACAGUGGCAAUAUGACCGCGUCACACAAUGUUUUCGACCGCUGGCAACAAGGCAGGUUAAGUGUCAGAACUAUCACUUAGUUUGUACUAGAACAUUUGUUAAACUUUGGAAAACCCUAAGCCUAAAGUCUUGAAAAGAGAUAUGGAGAUAGACGAGCCUAGACAUUUUAAAAAAUUAAGCUAAGCCGAUGUACCAGCAAUUCUUAUUUCUUCUAAGAAUGUCAUGCCUUUUCAAGACCUGAUGCAAGGAGUAAGAUAUUUGUGCCUUUUUCUAAUAGUGUCUAUUAUGGGAAAAAAAAAAAUCAAGUUGCUUACAGUUUAGACCGCCUUGUUGCACUAUAAGCAGCCCAGAUUCAUAGCCAUGGCUCCCCUGCAUGAUGCGUUGCUUGACUACCUGUGAUGAAAUAUUGUAAUGAUGGUUUGCCAAGCUUGUAUGAAUGUUUGAAGACUUUAUUUUUGCAGUCAUAACCUUGGGCUGGACCUAAGUCUAUAUAUAAACCACAUGGUGUCUGUAUUGUUUGUAGAUGCUGACGAAAGAAAACUUGAUCUUUUGAUUUUUGUUGUAAGAUUUUUCUUUUUAUGUUUAGGCUGGUAGUAGAUCAUUUGCAAAUGGUGGUUGAUUUGGCAUACUUCUAAACUGUAUUGUUUCAGCUUGAAUAUUCUAUACUAAACUUUUAUAGAGUAUAACAUGCUAAGUCACUACAAAAUUUGUUGUAUUGUAAGGCGAGUGUAAACAUUUUGUUAAUAAAGUGCUAUGUUUACAGAUAA